UUCCUUCCCCACUGUGCUUUCUGCUCUUGAAAUAUCUUAGUGAAGUUGCUGCAGACUUCCCAUGUUAAGCAGGCUUAGUGUUGAGUGGUGCACCAAGGGUCAGGUGUAUUUGCAUGCUGUGCGAGGCCACUGCAGCUGGCUGGUUAAGCUCGGUGAAAACACCUGGCCACUAUGUCAUCUCAACUAUGCUAUAAACUCCUGGAAAUUAACAACUGUAAGAUGACACCUGUCAUAGUCCUUUGCCUCUGGUAAGUAUUAGUAUUUCUCACUUGAUUUUUUGAUUGUUUUGACCACAUGAUCAUCUUCUCUGUGGCAUUUCUUUAGACUGGUACUACUCAAACUUGAAAGUGAAUACAAAUCACCUGGUGUCCUGUUAAGAUAUGGAUUCUGAUUCAGUAGAUUUGGGGUAGGGUCUAAGAUUCUGCAUUUCUACAGGCUUCUAGUGAUGUGGAUGUGAUUACAAACAGAGCUCUACCUGGCUUUAAACAGCAAGGCCUUAUCUUACAAUGAAAACAUUGUGCGAUCUCACCUUGGAGAGGCUGGUGGGGAUUUCUAGAUUGUAUUUAUAUUAGCCAUGUACUUUCAUUGAGGACUUUGUUGUUUCCCUCAACUCCAUUCAUUCAUUCCCUCACCCUCCUUGUCCACACUCCUUUUAGCUGUCCCUGCAGUGGGAACAUGUUUCAAUGGAAGGAGUUGCUCAGACGGUCAGGCCCAGCAGUGCAAAGUGUUCAGUGGGUUUUCAAGACCACCAAUAUUGUCCUCUUUUUUGUCUUUUUAUUCCUGUGGGUCUGUCGUGUUACCCAUCCGUGAGCCUCCACCGCAUCCAUCUGAAGACUGAGCAGAGCCCUUUGGACAUGGUGAUCUGGGGUUGGCAGAGGUAAGAUUAUUUAUGUACGUGCACCUUUUUACUGAAACUGAAUACGGCCAACUGCAUCAAUGAACACUGCAUGAGUGCUUAAUCGAUGAGGACCCUGACUCUUCUUUACUUCGUUAUAUCCUUCCAAAGACAUUUGUUGUGGGAUUUUAUUAUUCUUGUUUAAGUGUAUGCACUAGAUAUAUUUCUUCACUGAAUCAUUUAAUCCUACUCCUAAUAACAGGGGCCAUUUAUUUAGAUUUUAGUUCAUGCUCAAUCUUGAUCUUCCUUCAGAAAGCGUGUGAGAUUUAGUUCUCUUCCAUUAUUUCCCUUUCUAGAAAUGCUAUUCCACAGAAAAUAGGGCCUUUUUUUUCUUAGUAACUUAGUUAUUCAUAGUUCUGUAACCAUUUCC
rnacentral:lncRNA from 1 species